AGUCUGACCAAGUAAGGAACCACGGAGGUAAACGAUGCCCUGUAGAGUGAAUGACGGACCGUCCUGCACGACCAUCGUUUUGAUCAGAACGUUGAGUUCCAGUACUUGAACCACGGAGGAACAGGACAGAAUGUAGCCCAAUCCACAGACCGUAGGUGGCAAUCGUCAUUUGAAGAGUCUGAAAUAUCUACCAAGUGCUGACCCACGAAGGUAACCCAC
rnacentral:lncRNA from 1 species